rnacentral:tRNA from 1 species
GGCCCGUUGGUCAAGUGGUUAAGACACCGCCCUUUCACGGCGGUAACAUGGAUUCAAAUCCCGUACGGGUCA